rnacentral:misc_RNA from 1 species
GAAAUGCGAUAUGUAAUGUGAAUUGCAGAAUUCAGUGAAUCAUCGAAUCUUUGAACGCACAUUGCGCCCCCUGGUAUUCCGGGGGGCAUGCCUGUUCGAGCGUCAUUUCACCACUCAAGCCUCGCUUGGUAUUGGGCGACGCGGUCCGCCGCGCGCCUCAAAUCGACCGGCUGGGUCUUCCGUCCCCUCAGCGUUGUGGAAACUAUUCGCUAAAGGGUGCCGCGGGAGGUCACGCCGCAAAACAACCCCAUUUCUAAGGUUGACCUCGGAUCAGGUAGGGAUACCCGCUGAACUUAAGC